rnacentral:rRNA from 1 species
CCUACGGGAGGCAGCAGUGAGGAAUAUUGGUCAAUGGACGAGAGUCUGAACCAGCCAAGCAGCGUGAAGGAUGACUGCCCUAUGGGUUGUAAACUUCUUUUAUAUGGGAAUAAAAUGUUCCACGUGUGGGAUUUUGUAUGUACCAUAUGAAUAAGGAUCGGCUAACUCCGUGCCAGCAGCCGCGGUAAUACGGAGGAUCCGAGCGUUAUCCGGAUUUAUUGGGUUUAAAGGGAGCGUAGGUGGAUUGUUAAGUCAGUUGUGAAAGUUUGCGGCUCAACCGUAAAAUUGCAGUUGAAACUGGCAGUCGUGAGUACAGUAGAGGUGAGCGGAAUUCGUGGUGUAGCGGUGAAAUGCUUAGAUAUCACGAAGAACUCCGAUGGCGAAGGCAGCUCACUGGACUGCAACUGACACUGAGGCUCGAAAGUGUGGGUAUCAAACAGGAUUAGAUACCCGGGUAGUC